AGCAGCCGCGGUAAUUCCAGCUCCAAUAGCGUAUAUUAAAGUUGUUGCAGUUAAAAAGCUCGUAGUUGAAUUUCGGGAUUGGCGCAUCGGUCGUGCCUCACGGGGUAUGAACUGGUGCAGUCAAUUUCUCACCUUCUGGAGAACCGCGAUGUCCUUAAUUGGAUGCCGUGGGGAACCAGGACCUUUACUUUGAAAAAAUUAGAGUGUUUAAAGCASGCAUUUUUGCUUGAAUACAUUAGCAUGGAAUAAUAAAAUAGGACGGCAUGGUUCUAUUUUGUUGGUUUCUAGGACCACCGUAAUGAUUAAUAGGGAUAGUUGGGGGCAUUAGUAUUCAAUUGUCAGAGGUGAAAUUCUUGGAUUUAUUGAAGACUAACUACUGCGAAAGCAUUUGCCAAGGAUGUUUUCAUUAAUCAAGAACGAAAGUUAGGGGAUCGAAGACGAUCAGAUACCGUCGUAGUCUUAACCAUAAACUAUGCCGACUAGGAAUCAGACGAUGUUAAUUUUUUAAUGACUCGU
rnacentral:rRNA from 1 species